rnacentral:pre_miRNA from 1 species
CAACUACUCCCUCCGUUCGGAAUUACUUGUCUCGAAAAUGGAUGUAUCUAGAACUAAAAUACAUCUAGAUACAUCCAUUUCUGCGACAAGUAAUUCCGAACGGAGGGAGUACUAG